UCSCCUGUUUAUCAAAAACAUAGCCAGUAGUUAAUGUUAUUGGUAUUUUYUGCUCAAUGAUAUUUAAAUAGCCGCAGUACCCUGACUGUGCAAAGGUAGCAUAAUAAAUUGGCUUCUAAUUAAAGUCUUGAAUGAAGGAAAUAAUGGAAAAUAACUGUAUAAUGGGUAUUAUGUAAAAUUACUAAGCAGGUGAAAAUUCCUGCAUUUAAAUAAUAGACGAGAAGACCCUAGAAAUUUUUAGAAUUUGAAAUUAUGGUUUUUGUUGGGGCAACAUUGUAACAAAAUAAUCUACAUUAUGUACAUGAAAUACAAUUGAAAGAAUAAAUUACUCUAGGGAUAACAGCGUAAUGUAUAAACGAUUGCGACCUCGAUGUUGGACUAGGAUACGAAAG
rnacentral:rRNA from 1 species